AAACAGAGGCCUCUCCCAUUUUCUCCACGUGUCCAAACUUCCUCUAUUUUAGAUUCAGGACCAAGCCCUUCCAACCUACCCGAGUGGACCCCAACCACUUUUCAAAACAAAUAAUAAAAAAUAAUAAUAUAUAUAUAUAUAUAAUAACUCUCACGCAUUCAUCUCCCACAUCAUAUUUACUCUCUUCCCCUCCCUGUUUUGGAACAUACCGCGUGAUCCCCUCCGCAUCCUUCCCCGC
rnacentral:lncRNA from 1 species